rnacentral:rRNA from 1 species
AAAUGCAUUUACAGGCUAAUGGUGGAUGCCUUGGGAUGUCCAAGCGAUGAAGGACGUGGCGUGCCUGCGAUAAGCUUCGGGGAGGUGGUAAGCAACCUUUGAUCCGGAGAUUUCCGAAUGGGGAAACCUAUCUAUGGGAUAACCUUAGAUAUCCAAACCGUGCGGUUUGGAAGCGAACCCGCUGAAGUGAAACAUCCUAGUAAGCGGAGGAAAAGAAAACAAGUUAAUGCUUGCAUUAACACAUUCCCUCAGUAGCGGCGAGCGAAAUGGGAAGAGCCCAAAAUCCUUGUGUUUUCACAAGGGUGGUUGUAGGGUAGAUACGUCCGGCUUGCCGGAGAGAGUUUAAAAGUAAAAGUGUUAGUUGAAUACUCCUGGAAAGGAUAAUCGUAGAGGGUAAUAAUCCCGUAAACGAAAACACUUUUCGCUCUUUGUAUCUAUUCCUGAGUACCGUCAGGCACGACAACCUGGCGGGAAGCUGGCAGAACUAUACUGCCAAGGCUAAAUAUUAGGACAUCACCGAUAGUGAACCAGUACCGUGAGGGAAAGGUGAAAAGUAGCCCUUUUAGGGCGGUGAAAUAGAACCUGAAACCAUUAGCUUACAAGGAGUCAACGCCGAUGCUUCGCAUCGGGAAAUGUCUAAUUAACCUAAUUAUUCUAAUUAACCUAAAUAAAAACCAAGCACCAAAAUAUUUUGAAUUUGGGGCUUUGAAAAUUAUAAUUUGUUUAGAAAUUAGAAAUUAGAAAUUAGAAAUUCCGACGCGGAGCGUCGGUUAUGGCGUGCCUUUUGCAGAAUGAGCCAACGAGUUUGUCAUAUCAGUAUGCCUAAGUCCUUCCGGGACGGAGGCAAAGGGAAACCGAGUGCUAAUCGCGCGCAAAUAUAAUUGAUGUGGCAAGACCCGAAGCCAGGCGACCUUACCAUGGCCAGGAUGAAGUUCGACUAACGUCGGAUGGAGGUCCGAACCCGUAGAACGUGCAAUUUCUUGGGAUGAGCUGUGGUACGCAGUGAAAAGCUAAUCGAGCCUGGUAAUAGCUGGUUCUCUCCGAAAUAGCUUUAGGGCUAGCGUCUUUGGAUGUCUUGGGGGUAGAGCACUGGAUGGAACUACGGGGGCCUUUGGCCUAGUUUUUCCAACCAAACUCCGAAUACCGAGACUAUAAAACCAAGGGCAGUCAGAAUGUGGGGGCUAAGCUCCAUGUUCAAAAGGGAAACAGCCCAGACCUCAAUCUAAGGUCCCUAAAUCCAAACUAAGUGCAAAGAAGGAAGUGAUCUUCCUCUGAUAGUCAGAAGGUUAGCUUAGAAGCAGCUAUCCUUUAAAAAGUGCGUAACAGCUUACUGACUAAGGAAUUUUGCACCGUAGAUUCACGGGGCUCAAGUUUGGUACCGAAGAUGAGGAUACUAGUGCUUGCACUAGUAUGGUAGGAGAGCGUUCUUUGCUUGCCGAAGCUAAACUGUGAAGUUUUGUGGAGAGCAAAGAAGUGAGAAUGUUGGCAUGAGUAACCACAAUUCCGGUGAGAACCCGGAACGCCGUAAACCCAAGGUUUCCUUGGCAAUGACAAUCAUCCAAGGGUUAGGCGGUCCUAAGGAAAAGCCGAAAGGCGUAUCCGAUGGACAGCCGGUUAAUAUUCCGGCCCUUCGUAUUAUUUUUCUUUAAAGAGACGGAGGUUUGUAAUUUAAGCAGGUUAUCGGAUUCCUGUCCUUUCUCUGAGGGGAAACCCAAUGGAGCGAGGGGAAGCCCCGUACGCGGGGUGAACUUAGAUGAGCAACCUUCCAAGAAAAUUUUUAAAGAAAUUAAGAGUAAUACGGAACCGUACCAAAAACCGACACAGGUGGGUGGGCGUAAGUGUGCCAAGGCGAACGAGUGAUUCCUCGUUAAGGAACUCGGCAAUCAAGUGGUCGUAACUUCGGGAUAAGACCUCCCUGGCCAUACCUCACUGCGUUCGGUAAAUUUUUAAUUUCUAUUUACUAAUUUCUAUUCAAUUUUUAAUGUUUUAAUUUCUAAACAUUAGAAAUUAGAAAUUAAUAAUUAGAAAUUUCAUACCGAACAUAGCGAGGUGUGGCUGGGGCGCAGCGAAAGUUCCCCUGGCGACUGUUUAUCAAAAACACAGGUCCCUGCUUAACUCGUAAGAGGAUGUAUAGGGGCUGAGGCCUGACCAGUGCUGGAACGUUAAGCUUGCCGGUCCUUCGGGGCUGAGUGAGUGAAGCGCCAGUAAACGUCGGCGGUAAGGUAAUAGUUGCCGCCCUUGAAAGGUAACUUUCAAGAAAGAAUAACUCGACUAUAUGCUGGAAACACCGCGUAUAUUGAACUACUAAUCAUGAUUUGUUAAAAUGAAUUAUGGCAGUAAAAAUGUUCAAUCGAGGCGGUCAAUCAGCAGGAAAGACUUCUAAUGGUAAUAUAG